rnacentral:rRNA from 1 species
GACAGAGGGUGCAAACGUUGUUCGGAAUUAUUGGGCGUAAAGGGCGCGUAGGCGGCUUGGCAAGUGGAUGGUGAAAUCCCUCGGCUUAACCGAGGAACUGCCGUCCAAACUGCUUAGCUUGAGACCGGGAGAGGUGAGUGGAAUUCCCAGUGUAGCGGUGAAAUGCGUAGAUAUUGGGAGGAACACCAGUGGCGAAGGCGGCUCACUGGACCGGUACUGACGCUGAGGCGCGAAAGCUAGGGGAGCAAACGGG